rnacentral:rRNA from 1 species
UUGACUCAUGUGGGUCGGAAACCCACAGUGGAGUGCAAGAGCAUAAGUCAGCCUGACUGGAUUUCGCAUAACAAGAAAUCCUGAGACGAAAGUCGGGUCUAGCGAACCACUAAGCCCUCUUGAUGAGGGCUAUUGACUACAGAAAAGCUACCACAGGGAUAACAGAGUCGUCGCCGGCAAGAGUACAUAUCGACCCGGCGGCUUGCUACCUCGAUGUCGGUUCUUUCCAUCCUGGCUGUGCAGCAGCAGCCAAGGGUGAGGUUGUUCGCCUAUUAAAGGAGAUCGUGAGCUGGGUUUAGACCGUCGUGAGACAGGUCGGUUACUAUCUAUUAGGGGUGUUUUGAGGUCUGAGGGUAAGUUGCAUUUAGUACGAGAGGAACUGUGCAACGGUGCCACUGGUGGACCUGUUGUCUGGUAAGGCAUCGCAGGGCAGCUACGCACUAAAGGAUAAAAGCUGAAAGCAUCUAAGCUUGAAACCUCACCUAAAAAGAGACCUCUAAGGACUCUCGUAAAAGACGAGU